rnacentral:rRNA from 1 species
CCUACGGGAGGCAGCAGUGAGGAAUAUUGGUCAAUGGACGCAAGUCUGAACCAGCCAUGCCGCGUGCAGGAAGACGGCUCUAUGAGUUGUAAACUUCUUUUGUACGAGGGUAAACGCAGAUACGCGUAUCUUUCUGAAAGUAUCGUACGAAUAAGGAUCGGCUAACUCCGUGCCAGCAGCCGCGGUAAUACGGAGGAUUCGAGCGUUAUCCGGAUUUAUUGGGUUUAAAGGGUGCGUAGGCGGUCGGAUAAGUUAGAGGUGAAAUCCCGAGGCUCAACCUCGGAAUUGCCUUUGAUACUGGUCGGCUAGAGAGUAGUUGAGGUAGGCGGAAUGUAUGGUGUAGCGGUGAAAUGCUUAGAGAUCACACAGAACACCGAUUGCGAAGGCAGCUUACCAAGCUACUUCUGACGUUGAGGCACGAAAGCGUGGGGAGCAAACAGGAUUAGAUACCCCAGUAGUC